GGGUUCGUAGUCUAGCUUGGUAGGAUUCGAGCUUCGGGAGCUCGUGGCCCCGGUUCAAAUCCGGGCGGACCCA
rnacentral:tRNA from 1 species